UACGGAGGAUGCGAGCGUUAUCCGGAUUUAUUGGGUUUAAAGGGUGCGCAGGCGGAAGAUCAAGUCAGCGGUAAAAUUGAGAGGCUAAACCCGGGCCGGCCGUUGAAACUGGGGAUCUUGAGUGGGCGAGAAGUAUGCGGAAUGCGUGGUGUAGCGGUGAAAUGCAUAGAUAUCACGCAGAACUCCGAUUGCGAAGGCAGCAUACCGGCGCGCAACUGACGCUCAUGCACGAAAGCGUGGGUAUCGAACAGG
rnacentral:rRNA from 1 species